rnacentral:misc_RNA from 1 species
UUUCCGUAGGUGAACCUGCGGAAGGAUCAUUAUUGUCUAAACGAGGUGCGAGGGCUGUCGAUGACCCGAAAGGUCGUGCACGCCCGAGUGCCCUCACUCACCGCCUUCUCACCCCUAUGUCCACCACCGCGUGGGUCCCCCUUUGGCUGGUUCGGAGUGGGUCUUAAGUUUUCAACCAAACUUUGUAUGCAGUUUAUAAUGUAUUUUUUGUUUUUGCGAGCACGCAAUCACUACAACUUUCAACAACGGAUCUCUUGGCUCUC